rnacentral:rRNA from 1 species
GAUGAACGCUAGCGGCAGGCUUAAUACAUGCAAGUCGAGGGGGAUUAACUGGGUAGCAAUACUCGGUUAUGAGACCGGCAAACGGGUGCGGAACACGUACGCAACCUUCCCAAAACUGGUGAAUAGCCCUCCGAAAGGAGGAUUAAUACACCGUAACAUAACGAAGAGGCAUCUCUUUGUUAUUAUAGCUCCGGCGGUUUUGGAUGGGCGUGCGCCUGAUUAGGUAGUUGGCGGGGUAACGGCCCACCAAGCCUGCGAUCAGUAACUGGUGUGAGAGCACGACCAGUCACACGGGCACUGAGACACGGGCCCGACUCCUACGGGAGGCAGCAAGUAAGGAAUAUUGGUCAAUGGACGAAAGUCUG